rnacentral:tRNA from 1 species
AUUUAAGUAGCUUAUAUAUGUAGAGUAUGGUUUUGAAGCAGCUAUGGAGGUUAUUUUAGCCCUUAAAUA